ensembl:lncRNA
GGAUGGAGGGAUGGAUGGAGGGAGGGAGGGAUGGAGGGAUGGAUGGGAGUGUGAUGGGAUGGAGGGAUGGAGGGAUGGAUGGAUGGAUGGAUGGACAUAGGGAUGGAUGGACGGAGGGAGGGAUGGAGGGAUGGAUGGAUGGAUGGAUGGAUGGAGGGAUAGAGGGACAUAGGGAUGGAUGGAGGGAAGGAGCGAGGGAUGGAUGGAUGGAGGAGUGAUGGAGGGAUGGAGGGAUGGAUGGGUGUGUGGACAUUGGGAUGGAUGGAUGGACAGAUGGAGGGAUGGAGGGAAGGAGGGAGGGAUGGAUGGACGGAGGGAGGGAUGGAGGGAUGGAAGGAUGGAUGGAGGGAUAGAGGGACAUAGGGAUGGAUGGAGGGAAGGAGCGAGGGAUGGAUGGAUGGAGGAGUGAUGGAUGGAUGGGCGGAUGGAGGGAUGGAUGGACGGAGAGAUGGGUGGAUGGAGGGAUGGAGGGAUGGAAGGAGGGAGGGAUGGGGGGUGGAUGGAGGGAUGGAUGGAUGGAGGAUGGAUGGAUGGACAUAGGGAUGGAUGGAGGGAGGGAGGAAUGGAUGGAUGGAGGGAUGGAUGGAUGGAUGGAUGGAGGGAUGGAGAGAUGGGGAUGGAUGGAGGGAAGGAGGGAAGGAUGGACGGAUGGAUGGGCAGAGGGAUGGAUGGAUGGAUGGAUGGAAGGAGGGAUGGAUGGAGGGAUGGAUGGAGGGAUGGAUGGAUGGGUGGACAUAGGGAUGGAUGGAGGGAAGGAGGCAGGGAUGGAUGGAUGGGUGGAGG